UUUGGCUUUUGCUUUUUUUUUCAAGCCUGCUUCUGUUUAAGUCCAUGAACCUUGCUGCCAGUGGAAGGAGGAGUUGGAUCUCUUCAUUCUGACCUAUCAACUUGGGAAUCUGAUUUCCAGGCAGUUCCCAUGUGACAGGCGGAGUUGGAAGCUGUCGGUGAGGUCCCGUCGGCUGGAGUUGGACCGGUGAACCGCUCUGCACGGUCUUGCUGCCUGUGUGGUGCUGGGCUUUGAAAUUCUCAAGUGAGCAGCGGGAGAUUCAUGCAGCUCUUAUUGUGAUG